GAUGAACGCUGGCGGCGUGCCUCAAACAUGCAAGUCGAGCGGGGCUAUGUAAUACCGCAAGGUAGAACAUAGCCUAGCGGCGAACGGGUGAGUAACACGUGGGUAACCUGCCUGGAAGACAGGGAUAACGAUUCGAAAGGGUCGCUAAUACCUGAUAAUAUCCUUUCAUCGCAUGGUGAUAGGAAGAAAGGGGAAACCCGCUUUCAGAUGGGCCCGCGUCCCAUCAGCUAGUUGGUAAGGUAAAGGCUUACCAAGGCGACGACGGGUAGCCGGUCUGAGAGGAUGUACGGCCACACUGGGACUGAGAUACGGCCCAGACUCCUACGGGAGGCAGCAGUUGGGAAUCUUAGGCAAUGGACGAAAGUCUGACCUAGCGACGCCGCGUGAGGGAAGAAGGCCUUCGGGGUUGUAAACCUCUGUCAGUGGGGAAGAAGUAAGUGACGGUACCCAAGAGGAAGCCCCUGCUAACUACGUG
rnacentral:rRNA from 1 species